rnacentral:rRNA from 1 species
CCUACGGGUGGCAGCAGUGGGGGAUAUUGCACAAUGGGGGAAACCCUGAUGCAGCGACGCCGCGUGGGCGAAGAAGUAUUUCGGUGUGUAAAGCCCUAUCAGCAGGGAAGAAGAAAUGACGGUACCUGGAUAAGGCGCACCCGCUAAAUACGUCCCCGCAGCCGCGGUAAUAUGUAGGGUGCAAGCGUUAUCCGGAUGUACUGGGUGUAAAGGGAGCGCAGGGGGCACGGCAAGCCUGAUGUGAAAGCCCGCGGCCCAACCGCGGGACUGCAUUGGGAACUACCGGGCUGGAGUGCCGGAGAGGUAGGCGGAAUUCCUAGUGUAGCGGUGAAAUGCGUAGAUAUUAGGAGGAACACCAGUGGCGAAGGCGGCCUACUGGACGGUGACUGACGCUGAGGCUCGAAAGCGUGGGGAGCAAACAGGAUUAGAUACCCGUGUAGUC